rnacentral:rRNA from 1 species
AGUUUGCUGUAUUUUAUAGCAAAUUUUUUCUGCCCGGUGGGAUUAAACGGCCGCGGUACACUGACCGUGCAAAGGUAGCAUAAUCAUUUGUCCUUUAAUUGGGGACUGGAAUGAAGGAAAGUUUGAAGGCAAGGCUGUCUCUUGCAGGAGCAAGAAAUUGCUGUUUAUGUGAAGAAGCAUGAGUUGUUAUAAAGGACAAGAAGACCCUAUUAAGCUUUAUUUUUUUCUUCAGUUUUUUUUUUCUUUUAGUAAAAAAAACUGAAGAAGACAAAUUUGGUUGGGGUGACUAAAUAGGAUUUUAUAUAUCCUCUUUUUUUUACGAAACUUUGUGUUUGAUAAUGAUCCAGGAUUUUUUGAUUGAAAGAAUUAGUUACUAUAGGGAUAACAGCGUAAUUUUUUCAUAAAGUUCUUAUUGAAGAAAAAGAUUGCGACCUCGAUGUUGACUUGUUGUUUCCUCUGUAUAAGGUGCAGUAGCUGUAAGGGUUAGUCUGUUCGACUAUUAAAAU